UACGUAGGUGGCAAGCGUUGUCCGGAAUUAUUGGGCGUAAAGCGCGCGCAGGCGGUCCUUUAAGUCUGAUGUGAAAGCCCACGGCUCAACCGUGGAGGGUCAUUGGAAACUGGGGGACUUGAGUGCAGAAGAGGAAAGCGGAAUUCCACGUGUAGCGGUGAAAUGCGUAGAGAUGUGGAGGAACACCAGUGGCGAAGGCGGCUUUCUGGGCAUUACCUGACGCUGAGGAGCGAAAGUGUGGGGAGCGAACAGG
rnacentral:rRNA from 1 species